rnacentral:rRNA from 1 species
UACGUAGGGUGCGAGCGUUGUCCGGAAUUAUUGGGCGUAAAGAGCUCGUAGGCGGUUUGUCACGUCGGAUGUGAAACCCCGGGGCUUAACUCCGGGCCUGCAUUCGAUACGGGCUGACUAGAGUUCGGCAGGGGAGACUGGAAUUUACGGUGUAGCAGUGAAAUGCGUAGAUAUCGUAAGGAAGACCAGUGGCGAAGGCGAGUCUCUGGACAGUUACUGACGCUGAGGCACGAAGGCCAGGGGAGCAAACGGG